UACGAAGGGGGCUAGCGUUGUUCGGAUUUACUGGGCGUAAAGCGCACGUAGGCGGAUCGAUCAGUCAGGGGUGAAAUCCCAGAGCUCAACUCUGGAACUGCCUUUGAUACUGUCGAUCUGGAGUAUGGAAGAGGUGAGUGGAAUUCCGAGUGUAGAGGUGAAAUUCGUAGAUAUUCGGAGGAACACCAGUGGCGAAGGCGGCUCACUGGUCCAUUACUGACGCUGAGGCGCGAAAGCUAGGGGAGCAAACAGG
rnacentral:rRNA from 1 species